UACGAAGGGGGCUAGCGUUGCUCGGAAUUACUGGGCGUAAAGCGCACGUAGGCGGCCAACUAAGUCAGACGUGAAAUCCCUCAGCUUAACUGGGGAACUGCGUCUGAUACUGGAUGGCUUGGAUUCGGGAGAGGAAUGCGGAAUUCCAGGUGUAGCGGUGAAAUGCGUAGAUAUCUGGAGGAACACCGGUGGCGAAGGCGGCAUUCUGGACCGACAUUGACGCUGAGGAGCGAAAGCCAGGGGAGCAAACGGG
rnacentral:rRNA from 1 species